AAUCUGGCAGUCCUUAGGUUAUUUUACACAUUUAAAUUAGGUUAUUUAUGCUCUACCAAUUACUGAAGGUAGUUGUGAGUUUCCUAUAAUGUGCAGAAUCUUAAUUUACACUUUACCAUCUGUCUGUGUCUUAAGGUUUUAAAAGAUUUUGCUUCAUAGUAUCCUUAUGUAAAUGCAAUACAUCUUUGGAAAGACAUCUACUUUGUGAAACACAGCCAAUAUGCACCGUAUGGUCUCAACUUAGAUGCAAGUCCUAGGAAAUUCAAGAGAGUUGAAAUUAUUAUUUUUAAAUGAUUCCUUGUUUUAUUUUUAUAGUACCGAGCUUUGAAUACAUAUUAAUCAGUUGACCAGAGUAAAGAAACAUCUGGAAAGAGUGCAGUUGGAGGUACUGGACAUUUACAUGCCAUUUAUCAGAUUAGCCUGAGUGCUUGCCUGAAAUCUGAAUUAAUCAUAGCUACCAGAUAUAGGAUAUGACUAGGAAGUUAAGUUCAGACUUAUUGUUGAUUAUAGAAAACUACUGUAACAUUUUGCUGUCAUCAGAAUGCACCUCACUCAAGAUUUUUUUAAAUUUGUCUGUAAAUUUUAAGAUAUCAUUUUUUAACACUGGAGUAAAAAUAUCCCAUUAUGUAAACGUACUACAUCUUCUGUAUCUAUUCUUCCAUUAAGGGUCAUCUAGGUUGUUUCCAGUUUCUGACUGUUAUGAAUAAAUCUGCAAUGAACAUGGUUGAGCAUGUGUUCUUGGAGUAGGAUGGAGUGUCUUUUGAGUAUAUACCCAAGAGUGGUAUAGCUGCUUCUUGUGGUAGAUCCAUUCCUAACUUUCUGAGGAACUGCCAUUUUGAUUUCUAUAGUAACUGCACAAUCUUGUAUUCCUUCUGGCAACAGGGAAGUGUUUCCUUCUGCUCCCCAUCCAACCCAGCAUGAGCUGUCACUUGUAUUUUUGAUCAUAGCCAAUCUGACAAAUGUAAGAUGGACUCUCAAAGUAGUUUAGAUUUUUAUUUUCCUAAUGGCUAACGAUAUUGAACAUUUCUUUAAGUGUUUCUCAGCCAUUUGCAUUUCCUCUAUUGAGAAGUCUCUGUUUAAGUCUGUACCUCAUAUUUAGACUAUUUAGUAUUUUGAUAUCUAAUUUCUUGAGUUCUUUAUACAUAUUAGUUAUUAGACCUCUGUUGGAUUUUGAGUUGGUAAAACUGUCAUUCUGUAGGCUGCCUCUUUCUCCAGUUGAUGGUGUCCUUUGCCUUACAGAAGCGUCUCAGUUCCAUGAGGUCCCAUUUAUUAAUUGUUGAUCUUAGUGCCUAGAUUAUCAAUGUUCUGUUCAGGAAGUUGUCUCCUGUGCCAAUGUGUUCAAGGAUUUUUUCCCCCACUUUCUUUUCUAUCAGGUUCACUGUGCCUGAUUUUAUGUUGAGGUCAUUGAUCCAGUUGGACUUGAGACUUGUGUAGGAUGAUAGAUAUGGAUCCAUUUACAUUGCUGUAUAUGUAGACAUCCCAUUUGACCAGCACCAUUUAUUUGAAAAGGUCUCUUUUUCCAGUAUGUAUUUCUGGGUCCUUUAUCAAAAGUCAAAUGUCCAUAGUUGUGUGGAUUAAUGCCUAUGUCUUCAAUUUGAUUCCAUUGAUCAACAUGUCUGUUUUUAUGUCAAUACUAUGCAGGAUUUGGUAUGCGCAUUUUUAAUUCUACAUAAAAUAUCAAAUGAUUAUAUUGUUAUGUGUUGUAUAUAUUUUCAGAGAUAGAGACAAAAUUGUACUUUAUGGAGUCAAAUAAAAUGGAUUUCCAUUGACUAGCCCUUACUGUCCAUAUGACUUUGCCCACUUCAUGUAUAGCCAUAUCAAAAAAAUGCACAUCAAAAAGAAUAUUUUUUGGCUGAUGAGAUGGCUCAGUGGUUAAAGGUACUUUUUGCAUAGCUACUUGGUAGGUUUUUCUACAUGAAGGUAGAAGGAAAAAGCUGACUCCCAAAAGUACCCUUGUGGGAAAGCUUCCUAAGGCAUCUCUACCAGGAAACAAAUCAUUCCAUUUUGGUAGGAAAAUGGGGAGCCCCACAAACCUUAUUAUUUGAGUUUAGUAAACUCAUACUCAAGGGUGGAUAAGAUGCUAGGUGGCCAUCCUAGGUGAGGAUGGCAUGGGUUCACUGACUUUGUCCUUGUAUUCAAAAGAUGCCCUCUCCUCUGGGUUCACUGUCUUUGUCCUAGUAUUCAGAAGAUGUCCCCUCCCCUGUCUGUAUCUUUGCUUGAAUCAGUUUUUGUUUUGUAAAUCAUGUUUGCAAACAUAAAACAACUUUUUUGGCUGUCACAGAAACAACACACGUACAAAUUAUCUGCAGUCUAUCAGUUAACAAAGCAAUCAGUUAUUCAACGGUGCCACUACAGACCUUGUGUACAUACCUUUUUUCUUUUAUUUCUAUGGUUUUAGAAUCAUGGCUUUUUUUUGUACAAGUUGUGUUCUUGGGUUCUAUGCUUCAUGGUGGCAAGAUGGCUGCUAGACCUUUGAGUAUUAAACUGUAUUCCUGGACAGAAAGAAAAAAAGCAAGAGUAUUUUGUUAACCUGAGGUCUAUUAUUUAUCUACCUGAGGUCUAUUAUUUAUCUACCCUUCAAGCAACCAUUCCUAAUGGAAACAAUGGUAGAGAUGCUGGACAGUGUUUUCCUAGAGCUUGGAAUAGGCUCUAUCCCCUACCGGUAUUUUUUUCUGUUUCUGUUUGACUAG
rnacentral:lncRNA from 1 species